AUCUGUCACCUCUAACCACAAGAAAAUGUUUCCUUUAUUCUAUUCCUUCGCUAAUCCUCACCCUAUGUACUUGAGAUUUUCUCACCAGACUUAAUUGGGGCAUAUUAAUGAGAGCCAUCCCUCUUAUUGCAGCCAUUCUUUCUAAUUUUUUGCAUGGGUGUGUUUACGGCUGUUAAGUCAUCUUGAUAUUAUAUUAUAGGUACGAUCUGGAAAAAUACAAAGUGCACUGACCUAGCCCUCAGCACAUUCUUUUUGGAGUGCAACCUGCCUCAAUUAAAUGAUGAAAACAUCAGCAGAGCAACGGAAAGAUUCUCUACAUUACAUUCAUGUUAAGAAGAUACUCCUCUCCCUUGAUAGGACACAGAGGUUUUGCUGCUUCUGGAGUUACAUUUUAGUCUCUUUUGAACAAUGUUGCUGUGAAAGGAUAUGACUUUGUGACUAUCAAAAAUCACGUUUGUUGCCCAUUAAGGGCCGAAUCCAACACCCAUGGAAGUUAAUGGAGAGUCUCCCAUUUCAGUGGGAGCUGGAUCAUGCCUGAAGUCCAUACUGUAGUUUUCACUAGACAUGGGAAACACCCAAAGAAGGCACUAUGGUGUUUUGGGCCAAUGAAUCCCAAGAUAUGGCCCUGAUCUUGCUAACAG